AAGUCCCGUAACGAGCGCAACCCCUAUGUUUAGUUGCCAGCACGUUAAGGUGGGGACUCUAAACAGACUGCCUGUGCAAACAGAGAGGAAGGAGGGGACGACGUCAAGUCAUCAUGGCCCUUACGUCCGGGGCUACACACGUGCUACAAUGGAUGGUACAGAGGGCAGCAAGCUGGCAACAGCAAGCGAAUCUCAAAAAGCCAUUCACAGUUCGGAUAGAGGUCUGCAACUCGACCUCUUGAAGUUGGAUUCGCUAGUAAUCGCGUAUCAGCAAUGACGCGGUGAAUACGUUCCCGGGCCUUGUACACACCGCCCGU
rnacentral:rRNA from 1 species